GACUUUUAAGAAUGUGGAUUUUUGGGUCAUCUUUGGCGCCCCCUAGAACGUAAACCAUGGGGUGCAGCGGCAUGAUUUUUACAACUUUUAAUGGCCAUGGGGUGUAGAUUGGCCUGAGCAAAUUUGGUGUCAGUGGGACGAAAGCCUUAGGAGGAGUUAGCCACAUUCCAAUGUGUGCGAAUGGGCAAAAAAUGCGAAAUAGCCCUUUAGCCGUACAUUUUACAGAUACGUGCCCAUUGACUUUUUCGUAGAUCUUAUUGAGAUACACGUGUGUGUCAAAUUUUUUGUCAAUAUGACAAAGCGUACAGGCGUGAAUCUCAACAAUGUGUAUUUUCACCUUAGGGGACAAGAAAAAAUUGACUUUUUUGUCCUGCCAUGGGGGGGCGCUCUUUUGGGGAGUCAAAAUUCCUUCACAAAUGUGUUGAUGGCUGGACAUUGCAUCAUCCUAGAGAACUUGGAGGCCAGUGAGGACAAAAAUAAAAAGUUAUAAGACUUUUAAGAAUGUGGAUUUUUGGGUUUUGGAUGGAGCUUCAUGGUUGUCUUUUGGAGAAAUGACCAGUCAAGUUGUGUUUGAAAUUUGAUUUUUUUCAGGGGCAAAAGGAGCCUCUGCAUUCUUGUCAAAUAUGUAAAUAGCAUGUUUUUGCAGGUGCUAAAAAACAGACUCUGAGUGUGUGUGUGUGUGCGUGUGUCUGUGUGUGUGUGUGUGUGUGUGUGUGUGUGUGUGCGUUCAAGUCACAUGACAUAUUUAACUGGAUGUAGCUGCAAGACGGAGCCUCAUUGACUCUCCGUUUCAACUUCUCUCAAAAGUGAGGACCUCAACCUAUAUACCAGUUUUUAAAUUGUGUUGAUAGGCCAAAUAAAACCAGAGUUAUGAUAAAUUAUGUCCGCGAUACUUGUUUUCUGCUUAUUUUGAUCACGUUCGGCGCUCGUUCGCGCUGUAUGAGACAGGAAAACAUAGCAUGCAGACAUUAGCGACAGGUCUUACAGGCGGAAAAGGCUUGCCAAAGGAAAAAAAAAACACACCACAACAUCUCUCCUAUUGGUGGAAAACUUCACCACAACAACAAAUCCAAAAUUAUAUGGUGACUGAUUGACAAGGGGCGGGCGCUUACGUUCUUCCUGCAAUAUGAGAAGGGAGGGAGGGACUCUCAGCAGGGAUGCAGUCUGGGACACGUAGUUGCAAACCUAGCGACUUUGUUGUUAGAUUCAAUGACUUUUCAGACCCCCUAACGACUUUUUUUUAGAAAGAAAGUGACUUUUAUCGACUUCUUCUGGAGUUUAGAGACUCUGACAAUAAGCAGGCUUUCCUUACUGAGGAGUUAGCAACGCUGCUAAGGGUGCAGAGCCACACAUGCGCUCCGAGCUCUGCAUGGGAGACUGAAGCUGACAGAGCUGCAGCAGUUAGCAGGUUUCACCCUCAGAGACCACCAGGGGUUCAUGUUGAGGCAUUUUCAGUUUUUUUUUUUUUUUUGCCAUAGACACUGUCAGCACAAUCUGCAGUUACACUAACAAAAAUGCUGCAAAAAACAAAGAAUUAUGGAAAAAUUACACAUGGACUAACAUAGAGGAGGAUCUACACAAGUUUUUUACAUCAUGUUUUACAUCAUGCAUCAUUUACAUCAUGUUUUUUUGUAGUGGCAUAAAUAAAAAGUGACAUUUGUGAGACUAUACAGUGUUUUGUAAAUAAUUUGGUGCCGGUGGAACGAAAGCCUUAGGAGGAGUUAGCCACAUUCCAAUGUGUGCGGAUCAGCAAAAAAUGCGGAAUAACCCUUUAACCGUACAUUUGACAGAUACGCGCCCAUUGACUUUUUCGUAGAUCUUAUUGAGAUACAUGUGUGUGUCAAUUUUUGUGUCAUUUUGCCAAAGCGUAAAGGCGUGACACUCAACAAUGUGUAUUUUCACCUUAGGGGACAAGAAAAAAUGGACUUUUUUCUCCUGCCAUGGGGGGGCGCUCUUUUAGGGAGUCAAAAUUCCUUCACAAAUGUGUUGAUGGCUGGACAUUGCAUCACCCUAAAAAAUUUGGAGGCCAGUGAGGGCAAAAAUAAAAAGUUAUAAGACUUUUAAAUAUGUGGAUUUUAGGGUUAUCUUUGGCGCCCCCUAGAACCUAAACCGUGGGGUGCAGCGUCAUGAUUUGAAUAACUUUUAAUGGCCAUGGGGUGUAGAUUGGCCUGAGCAAAUGUGGUGCCGGUGGAACUAAAGCCUUCGGAGGAGUUAGCGAAAUUCCAAUGUGUGCGGAUCGGCAAAAAAUGCGGAAUAACCCUUUAACUGUACAUUUUACAUAUACGUGGCCAUUGACUUUUGCGAAGAUCUUAUUGAAAUACACGUGUAUGUCAAAUUUUGUGUCAUUUUGACAAAGCGUACAGGCGUGACACUCUACAAUGUGUAUUUUCACCUUAGGGGACAAGAAAAAAUUGACUUUUUUCUCCUGUCAUGGGGGGCGCUCUUUUGGGGAGUAAAAAUUCCUUCACAAAUGUGUUGAUGGCUGGACAUUGCAUCAUCCUAGAAAACUUGGAGGCCAGUGAGGGCAAAAAUAAAAAGUUAUAAGACUUUUAAAUAUGUGGAUUUUAGGGUUAUCUUUGGCGCCCCCUAGAACCUGAAACCGUGGGGUGCAGCGUCAUGAUUUGAAUAACUUUUAAUGGCCAUGGGGUGUAGAUUGGCCUGAGCAAAUGUGGUGCCGGUGGAACUAAAGCCUUCGGAGGAGUUAGCGAAAUUCCAAUGUGUGCGGAUCAGCAAAAAAUGCGAAAUAACCCUUUAACUGUACAUUAGACAGAUACGCCCGCACUGACUUUUUUGUAGAUCUUAUUGAGAUACAUGUGUGUGUCAAUUUUUCUGUCAUUUUGACAAAGCGUACAGGCGUCACAAUAGUGUGAAUUUUCACCUUAGGGGGCGCUAUGGAGCCAUUUUGCAUUUUAUUGUUUGGGCGACUUCAGAAUAUCAAAUAUUUCACCAGGCCCGGUCGUCCUGCCAAAUUUCAUGAGUUUUCGCCAGUGGGAAGUGGGCCAUUUUCCAGUUCAAAGGGGAAGAAAAAGAAAAACUAGGGCCCCGUUGGGGCACUGGCGGGCCCGAGCCGUGUCACGCCGCCCCCAGCGCGACCGCCUCCCCCACCCGAUCGCGUCACACUCAAGGUCCAAAGAUGGUGUGCGCACUUGUUUGUGGUCAUUUACCAUUAUAAUGAACGGGAGGCGCAGUUUCUACCAAAACGCUCGCUGCAGAAAAACUCCAUGUCCUAUUUGAAAAAAGUCUGGACCAUGAGUGAGGGCACAAACACAGCUAAGAUAUAUCCGAAUGGCAAGUUGCUCCUCCUUUCGGUUUUGCCGAGAGAGCGAUGCGUUUGAGCCAUUGAGCGAUGGGCAGGAAAAACUUGACUUUUUCUCCUGCCAUGGGGGGCGCUCUUUUGGGGAGAAAAAAUUCCUUCACAAAUGUGUUGAUGGCUGAAUAUUGCAUUAUCCUAGAAAACUUGGAGGCCAGUGAGGACAAAAAUAAAAAGUUAUAAGACUUUUGAAAAUGUGGAUAUUUGGGUCAUCUUUGGCGCCCCCUAGAACGUAAACCGUGGAGUGCAGCGUCAUGAUUUGUACAACUUUGAAUGGCCAUGGGGUGUAGAUUGGCCUGAGCAAAUUUGGUGCCGAUGGGACGAAAGCUUUAGGAGGAGUUAGCCACAUUCCAAUGUGU